GACGAACGCUGGCGGCGUGCUUAACACAUGCAAGUCGAACGGAAAGGCCCUGCUUUUGUGGGGUGCUCGAGUGGCGAACGGGUGAGUAACACGUGAGUAACCUGCCCUUGACUUUGGGAUAACUUCAGGAAACUGGGGCUAAUACCGGAUAGGAGCUCCUGCUGCAUGGUGGGGGUUGGAAAGUUUCGGCGGUUGGGGAUGGACUCGCGGCUUAUCAGCUUGUUGGCGGGGUAGUGGCUUACCAAGGCUUUGACGGGUAGCCGGCCUGAGAGGGUGACCGGCCACAUUGGGACUGAGAUACGGCCCAGACUCCUACGGGAGGCAGCAGUGGGGUAUAUUGCACAAUGGGCGGAAGCCUGAUGCAGCAACGCCGCGUGCGGGAUGACGGCCUUCGGGUUGUAAACCGCUUUCGCCUGUGACGAAGCGUGAGUGACGGUAAUGGGUAAAGAAGCACCGGCUAACUACGUG
rnacentral:rRNA from 1 species